AGAGUUUGAUCCUGGCUCAGGACGAACGCUGGCGGCACGCUUAACACAUGCAAGUCGAACGAGAGAAGAGGAGCUUGCUUUUCUGAUCUAGUGGCGGACGGGUGAGUAACACGUGAGCAAUCUGCCUUUCAGAGGGGGAUACCGAUUGGAAACGAUCGUUAAUACCGCAUAACAUAAUUGAACCGCAUGAUUUGAUUAUCAAAGAUUUAUCGCUGAAAGAUGAGCUCGCGUCUGAUUAGCUAGUUGGUAAGGUAACGGCUUACCAAGGCGACGAUCAGUAGCCGGACUGAGAGGUUGAUCGGCCACAUUGGGACUGAGACACGGCCCAGACUCCUACGGGAGGCAGCAGUGGGGAAUAUUGCACAAUGGAGGAAACUCUGAUGCAGCGAUGCCGCGUGAGGGAAGAAGGUUUUAGGAUUGUAAACCUCUGUCUUCAGGGACGAAAAAAGACGGUACCUGAGGAGGAAGCUCCGGCUAACUACGUGCCAGCAGCCGCGGUAAUACGUAGGGAGCGAGCGUUGUCCGGAAUUACUGGGUGUAAAGGGAGCGUAGGCGGGAUCGCAAGUCAGAUGUGAAAACUAUGGGCUUAACCCAUAAACUGCAUUUGAAACUGUGGUUCUUGAGUGAAGUAGAGGUAAGCGGAAUUCCUAGUGUAGCGGUGAAAUGCGUAGAUAUUAGGAGGAACAUCAGUGGCGAAGGCGGCUUACUGGGCUUUAACUGACGCUGAGGCUCGAAAGCGUGGGGAGCAAACAGGAUUAGAUACCCUGGUAGUCCACGCCGUAAACGAUGAUUACUAGGUGUGGGGGGACUGACCCCUUCCGUGCCGCAGCAAACGCAAUAAGUAAUCCACCUGGGGAGUACGACCGCAAGGUUGAAACUCAAAGGAAUUGACGGGGGCCCGCACAAGCAGUGGAGUAUGUGGAUUAAUUCGAAGCAACGCGAAGAACCUUACCAGGUCUUGACAUCGUAUGCAUAGCUCAGAGAUGAGUGAAAUCUCUUCGGAGACAUAUAGACAGGUGGUGCAUGGUUGUCGUCAGCUCGUGUCGUGAGAUGUUGGGUUAAGUCCCGCAACGAGCGCGACCCUUACUGUUAGUUGCUACGCAAGAGCACUCUAGCAGGACUGCCGUUGACAAAACGGAGGAAGGUGGGGAUGACGUCAAAUCAUCAUGCCCCUUAUGACCUGGGCCUCACACGUACUACAAUGGCUGUCAACAGAGGGAAGCAAAGCCGCGAGGUGGAGCGAACCCCUAAAAGCAGUCUUAGUUCGGAUUGUAGGCUGCAACCCGCCUACAUGAAGUCGGAAUUGCUAGUAAUCGCAGAUCAGCAUGCUGCGGUGAAUACGUUCCCGGGCCUUGUACACACCGCCCGUCACGCCAUGGGAGUCGGUAACACCCGAAGCCUGUAGUCUAACCGCAAGGAGGACGCAGUCGAAGGUGGGAUUGAUGACUGGGGUGAAGUCGUAACAAGGUA
rnacentral:rRNA from 1 species